rnacentral:tRNA from 1 species
GCGGAGAUGCCGGAGCGGUCAAACGGGACAGGCUUAGGACCUGUUAGCUUAGUGCUUACGGGGGUUCAAAUCCUCCUCUCCGCA